rnacentral:rRNA from 1 species
UACGGGGGGGGCAAGCGUUGUUCGGAAUUACUGGGCGUAAAGGGCUCGUAGGUGGCCAACUAAGUCAGACGUGAAAUCCCUCGGCUUAACCGGGGAACUGCGUCUGAUACUGGAUGGCUUGAGAUUGGGAGAGGGAUGCGGAAUUCCAGGUGUAGCGGUGAAAUGCGUAGAUAUCUGGAGGAACACCGGUGGCGAAGGCGACAUCCUGGACCAAUACUGACGCUGAGGAGCGAAAGCCAGGGGAGCAAACGGG